AUACCUCCACAUACGUAUGUAUGUAAGUAUGUAUGUAUGUAUGUAUCUCCGGACGUUCGGAUGGUUUAGUGUCAACUUAAACGGGAAGGUUCCCGACUGUUUAAUUAGACACGGCGACUUGUGUCAUUCAUAAAUAACUGCAAUUAUCUACAUAAAAGUCAAGUUUGUUUUAAAGAAAAAUGGCUCGAACGAAGCGCAUAGCUCGACGAUCCACUCGAGGAAAGGGAACCAGAAAAGCGCUGCCCAGAAAAGGCUCUCCUCUUAAGGUUCCAAGCACAAGUGGGGUGAAGAAAUCUCGCCGCUACCGACCUGGAAUUGUCGCACGACUAGGUAUCCGUCAUUACCAGAAGAGUACUGGUGUUCUCAUUGCACCAUUCCAUCGAUUAUGCCGAGAAGUACAUACUUCACGAUGUUUCUGGACACAUUCGGAGGUUUAAUCGCAUUGCUCUUACAGAAAUCCAAGUAGCAGCGGAGGCAUACCUCAUAAAUCUCUUUGAGGACACCAACUCAUGCGCCCACCACGCUAGGAGAGUUACCAUCAAAGUAAAAGAUUUACAUUUGGCUCAAAGAAUCAUAUGAGAAUAAGUUUAAUUUAUUUACACAUUGUACUUUGAAUUUUAAAGAGUAUUUAUUUACUACAUCCGAGAGGACAAGCUUAAAAAUACAAAUAAAAAACAAUUUACCACGAAUUUAAAUGUAGAAAAAUAAAUAUGUCCAUAUUAUUUGUAUAAUAAUAAUUUGGUGCAUGAGUCUUUGAUCGGCGACCAUAUAU